rnacentral:rRNA from 1 species
CACCGCGGUUAUACGAGUGACCCAAGCUGACAGUCCUCGGCGUAAAGAGUGGUUAACAAAUUUCACAGACUAAAGCCGAACACCUCCAAGGUUGUAUAACACAUUCGAAGACUUGAAGCUCGACCACGAAAGUGGCUUUAAACUCUUUGAACCCACGAAAGCUGGGGAA